AGUAAUAGCAGAGUGCUUAGCCUGAGGAUAGCUCAGAGCCCAGCAAGGAGGGCUGGGAUUCACACUGAGCACGUGUGUCUCCCUCGGCUUGGGCUAUUUUCUAGGAUGGACUACCUGAAAUUCAUCACGUCCACAUCCAUAUGUGUGAAACUGCAUGAGGAGGACAUGGAAUGAUGCCACAUAUCUUGCUACAAAUAUGUAUAAACAGUUGCUGUUUCCAAGAUGCCUUUCCAGACUAGAACCCAGACAUGUGAGCCACUGGCCAGACACAACAGUGCUGGAGGAGCUGAGAAUUCUUAUUGACCUGAAGGCUGCUAGAAGAAGACCGGUAGCUAGGAGGAGAGUUUCAAAUCCCACCAAUGUUGACACACUUCCUCAAACAAGGGUCCAUCUACUCCAACAAGACCGCAUACCUGCUAAUGUUGCUACUCUCUGGGCCAAAUUUCUUCAAACCACCACAAGGACAUUCAGGAAUUAUGGUUGAUGACUUUGUUGUUUCAAGCCAGCUGAUACUGUAGCCAGAGGACAAACACCUGCAGAAGUUCUCUUAUGGGUGCCAGCAUAGCCUCACAAGAAACACCUAUAUCAGGAUCAUUUCAGCAAAAUCUUUCUGGUGUAUGCAAUGGUGUCACCGUUUGGAAGUUGACUAUGGGAUGGAUUCCCAGCCUGAAACCUGCUUGCUCAGGGGUGGAGCUUCCCGCUCAAUCGUUCUGCCAUGCCCACUGCUGGAACCUGCUGCUUUGCUGCUUGGAGCCACACACGUGUUAACCCUGCUACUGGACCCCAAGACCAGAUGGCGGGAAUCAGGUUCCCUACCCCUUCCUUUAUAACUGAAUGUCGGAACUAAUAAAAUUGAGCUUUGAAAAGGAUGAA
rnacentral:lncRNA from 1 species